GACGGAGGAUGCAAGUGUUAUCCGGAAUCACUGGGCGUAAAGCGUCUGUAGGUGGUCAAAUAAGUCAACUGUUAAAUCUUGAGGCUCAACCUCAAAAUCGCAGUCGAAACUAUUCGACUAGAGUAUAGUAGGGGUAAAGGGAAGUUUCCAGUGGAGCGGUGAAAUGCGUAGAGAUUGGAAAGAACACCGAUGGCGAAGGCACUUUACUGGGCUAUUACUAACACUGAGAGACGAAAGCUAGGGUAGCAAAUGGGG
rnacentral:rRNA from 1 species